CCCAAGAAAAAUCCUAGUGACAGCCCUGAUUGGAGGCUCUAAAACUAUUGCCCCCUCCCCAAUUCUCAGGAAACUAACGAUAUUAAUGACAAGCAGCAGCAUGGAUGUGAAUAUUCGCAAAAUUGAGAUUUGAAUUUGUAGGUACUGUUUCAACUAUAAGGAUACAAAAAACACUCCGAAUUAAGCAGUUAUCUACCUCUUUCUUCUCUAGACGGUCCUUCUUCUUUAAGAGAUUCCGAUGAAACGAAUCCAUAGAGAAGCAACGCGUAUCCCAAUAUAUAAUAUUUAACUUGCAACAUAUUAAAUUCAACUAUAAACUGAGUAAAAAUUCGUAAAAAUGACAUAAAGUCAACUUUCACGCGUAAGACUCGGAGGCAGAAUGGAUCCCCUGGCCUUGGAAGAGUUUGAAGGAGAAAUGUGUUUUGGUUAGUAGGAUAUACAUAAUUAAAAAAAUCGUGGUCACAACACACACCUACAUUUCCCUCGAUCGUAUGAUAAUAAUUGUUAUUAUUAUUGAUGAAGUAAAUUACGUUUCAAAGACCUUCGUUGAUUUUUACUAAUGAAUCCACACGGUAGAAAGUAUGAAUGAAUAAUUAAUUAAUUAACAAUGCUAUUUUAUAUUUAUUAUAAUC
rnacentral:lncRNA from 1 species